rnacentral:lncRNA from 1 species
UGUUGGAUCACGUUUCACUGAAGAACCUCUGUGAAGCCAGUGAAGUGUCAGAGUAAGCUAAAGGGAGCAUCUCCCCUAGAAGUAAYGUGACACAAGUACUGAUAAAAUGGAAUUCAGACUUCCUUUCAUCGAAGUGCUGUGAUGACUUUUCUGACCUUGAAGUGAACCAAUUUUAGAGGAUGAUUUGAAACUCUUUUCAUCCAAGAGCAUGGAACUGAGUAGAACAGUUCAAUACCGUGUCUUCCUGAAAGCACACAUCCUGGAAGCAGACUGAUUUCAGUAUCAUGUGUAUCAGAAUAAAGUUCAGAUUCUACAGUGCA